UCCGGAUCCGUNCGACAGAGUUUGAUCGUGGCUCAGAUUGAACGCUGGCGGCAGGCCUAACACAUGCAAGUCGAGCGGUAGCACAGAGAGCUUGCUCUCGGGUGACGAGCGGCGGACGGGUGAGUAAUGUCUGGGAAACUGCCUGAUGGAGGGGGAUAACUACUGGAAACGGUAGCUAAUACCGCAUAAUGUCGCAAGACCAAAGUGGGGGACCUUCGGGCCUCAUGCCAUCAGAUGUGCCCAGAUGGGAUUAGCUAGUAGGUGGGGUAANGGCUCACCUAGGCGACGAUCCCUAGCUGGUCUGAGAGGAUGACCAGCCACACUGGAACUGAGACACGGUCCAGACUCCUACGGGAGGCAGCAGUGGGGAAUAUUGCACAAUGGGCGCAAGCCUGAUGCAGCCAUGCCGCGUGUGUGAAGAAGGCCUUCGGGUUGUAAAGCACUUUCAGCGGGGAGGAAGGCGAUAAGGUUAAUAACCUUGUNGAUUGACGUACCCGCAGAAGAAG
rnacentral:rRNA from 1 species